GAAAUGUGAUAAGUAAUGUGAAUUGCAGAAUUCAGUGAAUCAUCGAAUCUUUGAACGCACAUUGCGCCCGCCAGUAUUCUGGCGGGCAUGCCUGUUCGAGCGUCAUUUCAACCAUCAAGCCCCCGGGCUUGUGUUGGGGACCUGCGGCUGCCGCAGGCCCCGAAAACCAGUGGCGGGCUCGCUGUCACACCGGGCGUAGUAGAUUUUUCGUCUCGCCCAGGGCGUGCUGCGGGUUCCGGCCGUUAAAAAGCCUCUCUUUUAACCCAAGGUUGACCUCGGAUCAGGUAGGAAGACCCGCUGAACUUAAGC
rnacentral:misc_RNA from 1 species